AGGGAAAGGCAGCUUUCAUUGAGGUUCCACUACCUUUAUUGCUAAUUUGUAUUAAGUAAAACUCAAACUACUGUAAUUUGAUACUAUAUUUUGAACUCUUUCCUGAGGAAUUUUGUUGGAGGACAAUACAUCUUUGCUUCAGAUUUUAAAUCUGAGUUUUGAGGUAAUGUAUAGUUUUCCAUCAUUAAAUUUAAGGUCAAUCAAAAUUUUGUUUAUAAGAACCUCCCUUGACAUGUUUAUCAAGUUAAGAGAACUUGAGUAAAUAAUGCAAGGGAGUAAAAUUAGCAUAACAUUUUUUUAAGUUUGUUUACAGAUGUUGAGCUGAUUCAAAGUAUAGAGUAUGAAGUUGAUGUUUAUCAAUUCAAGACACCCUUGAAAAGUAAUAUUGACAUUAAUUGGCAUUUCUCCCAAAAGUGAGGCCCAAGGAGAUACUUGGUAGGUUCAUUAGUAAGCAUUAAUAAUAUAGUGAUGAUCUUGGUUCAUUUGAGGAGUCUCUGGUUGGUUAAUUUGUAAUACAAUGAUGAUGUUGGUUCAUUAGUAAUAUAGUGAUGAUGCUGGUUCAUUUGAGUAGUCUUUGGUUGGUUCAUUAGUAAUACAGUGAUGAUGUUGUUCAUUUGAGGGGUCUCUGGUUAGUAAUGCAGUGAUGAUGUUAGUUUAUUGAGAUUAGUAAGACAUUAAUAUUAUUUUUAAAAGUAAAACUGAUAUUGGGAGGUUCCUGGUCGGAUCAUUUGAGGAGUCUCUUUUGUCUAGC
rnacentral:lncRNA from 1 species